UGAAUCUUCUGUCCAGAAGUGUCCGGCUGAAUUUCCAAGCCGAUUGCUCGCUAAAAGUGGGCCGAUUGGGACAAUACGAGGAAAUAAGAGCCAACACUGCGGCUGAAGCCGGCCAGAAAGCAACUCGUGGGAUUCCCAUAUUCUCAGCAACUUGCAGAGCCCACCCAGUAUUCUCAUCAGCAAUAACACAGGUUUCAUGCCAUCUGGGAGUGAAACAAGAUGAAUAUUAGUAUUACCGUCCCAUUCCUCUGUAUGAUUUGCUUCCGCCAUAGCAUCUAUCACACGCUUGUGAUUAUACUCCGUGUUCACAAACGUGAUUUCGAACCUGUGUUUGGCUAAGCACAGACAGAUUUCCAGCAUGGGGAUCACAUGGCCUUGUGCUGGAUAAGGCAGGCUUAGAGUUCCAAAGAAGCUUGGACAUCAGUUGUCUCACUUCCUUGCCAUGAAUUCUACAAAACUCCAACGAGUGAAGUUUUUUCUCUGUAGAUUUAUACUAAUUCUCCAACGAGAAGAUUCCAAGUUUGUGUUGGGAUAAACUCUAUAUUAUAUUAUAAGGAUGAAUUAUCCUUUUUUGUAUGAAUCUAGCAGGAAAUACUAAGUAGAAAUAAUAAAUGUAAA